AGAGUUUGAUCAUGGCUCAGGAUGAACGCUAGCGGCAGGCCUAAUACAUGCAAGUCGAACGGUAACAUGGCAGCAAUGCUGAUGACGAGUGGCGCACGGGUGCGUAACACGUAUGCAACCUACCCUUUACUAAGGUAUAGCCCGGAGAAAUUCGGAUUAAUCCCUUAUGACACUGCGAUGUGGCAUCACAUUGCAUUUAAAUAUUUAUAGGUAAAGGAUGGGCAUGCGUCCAAUUAGUUAGUUGGUGAGGUAACGGCUCACCAAGACUAUGAUUGGUAGGGGUUCUGAGAGGAAGGUCCCACACACUGGUACUGAGAUACGGACCAGACUCCUACGGGAGGCAGCAGUAGGGAAUAUUGGGCAAUGGACGAAAGUCUGACCCAGCCAUGCCGCGUGCAGGAUGAAGGCUUUCUGAGUUGUAAACUGCUUUUGAUCGGGAACAAAAGGCCCAUGCGUGGGAAAUUGAGUGUACCGAUAGAAUAAGCACCGGCUAACUCCGUGCCAGCAGCCGCGGUAAUACGGAGGGUGCAAGCGUUGUCCGGAUUUAUUGGGUUUAAAGGGUGCGUAGGCGGCCUUAUAAGUCAGUGGUGAAAUACUUCGGCUCAACCGAAGAGGUGCCAUUGAUACUGUAGGGCUUGAGUACAGACGAGGUAGGCGGAAUUUAUGGUGUAGCGGUGAAAUGCAUAGAUACCAUAAAGAACACCGAUUGCGAAGGCAGCUUACUUGGCUGUAACUGACGCUGAGGCACGAAAGCGUGGGGAUCGAACAGGAUUAGAUACCCUGGUAGUCC
rnacentral:rRNA from 1 species